ACUCCUACGGGAGGCAGCAGUGGGGAAUAUUGGACAAUGGGGGCAACCCCGAUCCAGCCAUGCCGCGUGUGUGAAGAAGGCCCUCGGGUUGUAAAGCACUUUCAGCGAGGAAGAACGCCUAGUGGUUAAUACCCAUUAGGAAAGACAUCACUCGCAGAAGAAGCACCGGCUAACUCCGUGCCAGCAGCCGCGGUAAUACGGAGGGUGCAAGCGUUAAUCGGAAUUACUGGGCGUAAAGCGCGCGUAGGUGGCUUGAUAAGCCGGUUGUGAAAGCCCCGGGCUCAACCUGGGAACGGCAUCCGGAACUGUCAGGCUAGAGUGCAGGAGAGGAAGGUAGAAUUCCCGGUGUAGCGGUGAAAUGCGUAGAGAUCGGGAGGAAUACCAGUGGCGAAGGCGGCCUUCUGGACUGACACUGACACUGAGGUGCGAAAGCGUGGGUAGCAAACAGGAUUAGAUACCCUGGUAGUCCACGCCGUAAACGAUGUCGACCAGCCGUUGGGUGCCUAGAGCACUUUGUGGCGAAGUUAACGCGAUAAGUCGACCGCCUGGGGAGUACGGCCGCAAGGUUAAAACUCAAAGGAAUUGACGG
rnacentral:rRNA from 1 species